rnacentral:rRNA from 1 species
CGCUGGCGGCGUGCCUAACACAUGCAAGUCGAGCGAGGAGAUUCCUUCGGGAUGAUCCUAGCGGCGGACGGGUGAGUAACACGUGGGCAACCUGCCUCAUAGAGAGGAAUAGCCUUCCGAAAGGGAGAUUAAUACCUCAUAACAUUGCAGUUUCGCAUGGAACAGCAAUUAAAGGAGUAAUCCGCUAUGAGAUGGGCCCGCGGCGCAUUAGCUGGUUGGUGAGGUAACGGCUCACCAAGGCGACGAUGCGUAGCCGACCUGAGAGGGUGAUCGGCCACAUUGGGACUGAGACACGGCCCAGACUCCUACGGGAGGCAGCAGUGGGGAAUAUUGCACAAUGGGGGAAACCCUGAUGCAAGCAACGCCGCGUGAGUGAUGACGGCCUUCGGGUUGUAAAGCUCUGUCUUCAGGGACGAUAAUGACGGUACCUGAGGAGGAAGCCACGGCUAACUACGUGCCAGCCGCUGC